UAUACACCAGAAAAGUAUUUGAGGCUAGGAUUGUUUGGCUGCUUCUGUGAAUGAAGCAGGGGUAUUAAAGACAGGAAGAGAAGUUUCUAUGCCUGAACAGAGACAUACAUACAUCAUACCCGUAUGGCUAAAAUCAUGGCUGCAAACAGGACGUUUAAACGAAAUCCUCAAAUGAGAGUGAGUCAAACAGCUAAUAUAUAAAAAGUCCGGUGGCGGCGACGGAGAAGAGCUAACGACCGUGUUCAAGGCGCAGGUGAUACCCAAAAUAACACAAUGAAGGCCUGUGUGUAUGCAUCUCUCUGUUUAAGAAAUCAAACAAGAGACAUCAAAGCCCCAUGUUUCUCCCCAUCCUGCCAGCCGAGCCCAUCACUCUACCCCA